rnacentral:lncRNA from 1 species
CAAUGGAACUUGAGUCGACCCCACUGAACCUUGAGUCGACCCAAAAAGAGUUGAGUCGACCCCAGUGAAAAACGGCUGAAAUAUAAGGUUCUGUGUUUCCUGAGAGGGCCGACCCCAAUGUAGCAUGAGUCGACCCCAGUGAAAGUUGGGUCGACCCCAGUGAAAGUUGACUCGACCCCAAGUCUGAUGAACAGUGGUUUGAGUCGACCCCAGGAAAGUUUGGGUCGACCCAAGCACGGGCAGAAGCAUAACGGC